GAAAAUUUUUAGAUGAAGAGAGUAAUCUUAUUUUGAUUCUUGUAGAGAGUUGGGGAUGGUGGAAGCCUAACAGAGCGAAUAAGAUGAAGCGCACUUCGGAGAAGCAGUCUGAAUUGAUAGUAGGACUUUGCCGGGGAAGACCUCGUUAACAAAUUUUAAAGUUGGUUCAAUAUAUUUGAACAAUUAGAGUGGUACCGCGGAUUAUUUAAACCCGUCUCUUAU
rnacentral:ncRNA from 1 species